GUUGGGUGUGAAAUCUCCCGGCUCAACUGGGAGAGGUCAUUCAAUACUACCGUGCUUGAGAGCAGAAGAGGAAGAUGGAAUUCCCGGUGUAGUGGUGAAAUGCGUAGAUAUCGGGAGGAACACCAGUGGCGAAGGCGAUCUUCUGGUCUGUUUCUGACACUCAGACGCGACAGCUAGGGUAGUAAACGGG
rnacentral:rRNA from 1 species